AUGCUGUCGGUGUUUGCCACGUCUGAGGCUCUCUCUGGCUGCUCUCGGCCAGCACUGCUGCAGCUGCGAGGUCUCGGCUGCCGGCUGAAGCCCCGGAUCAGCCGGGCAGGGCAGGGGUACGCCGUGGGGACAGAGGAGGCCAUGGGGACCUGCGCUGUCUUAGUGUUUCUGGGGAGAGGGAAUGAUUUCGCUCUCUGUCAGUCCCACCCGCAGACACUGUACCUGCACGGUUUCUGCCAGCUCUCACAGCUCCGAGCAUCUAGCCAUGGGUGUAUUUUUAGGGAAGCCUUCAUUUUAUCAACUUCUCUUCCUGCGCAGGUUAGCCGUCCUUGCGCAAAGGGGGAUGAGGAUUACGAAGCGCGGAUGACUGGGACUGAGCCCUCCUGGCCACAGCCUGGCCUUUUUCACAGGCUCAGUUUGGGCUUCCGAAUGCAAGCUGGGUGUUACUCAGCUCUGAAGCUGUAUCAUGGAGAGCAGCUCCCAGCCCCUGCUUCCUGCAUGCCCCCUGGACACACCUGAGCAGGUGGCAGUGCACAGCGUGAGGGUUGGGACAUGCUGGCCAACCCCUCGGGCAGCUGUUUCCAAAAUGCCGAGUCUCCAGGGCUCCCCUGGAGGAAGAAGGGAUCCAGGACUGCAGCUGGAAGCACGAAGAGGAGACAUGGCAGAGGGCUGGUGCUGUGAGCAUGCCACCACCAGUGCGUCUGCCACAGCUGCCAUCCCAUCGCUGUGACCUGCUGGCAGCAGGGGACACGCGGGUAACUUCAGCAUUCAGUGCAGCAUGACAUGGUGUGGGAAGGCAGCUGGAAGGUGGUCAGCAGAAUUUGCUACACGCGCUUUGUGCAAUUUACUGUGAGGUGAAAUUGCUGCUGAUUCCAAGUGUAAAAGCAUCGUGGUUAGCAGCACAGCUGCUUCAUGCAUGAGGGAGGAUUGCAUCAAGUGCAUACAGAUCUCUUUACAUCCUUACCAGCUGGCUUACUGUGAAGGAAACUCUCUUGCAAGGAAGCUCUGAGAGAAGUUGUCCAGAAUGCUAAAAUUUAUUACAACUUUUCUUCAAAACUUGGUCAAAUUUUAAUUUCACCUGGCCAGAUAGCUGAAAUCCUGUCUGAGUCUUUUUAAAACAUCCCACGGUUUACAAUUGCUCAGAAAUCUCAUUGCCAAGGUGCUCUGCAACAGUUGUGCUGGGCAAGAACUCAAGCCCUAGAGCUAAGGUUGAGCAAACUGUUGGAAACAAGGGGAGGAGACGUCACUGAACCCUACGGACAGCCAGUGCUUGGCUGAAUGCUCCAGUCCAGGUGGACAAAUCUAUCACAAACUGACAUAAUCUUCACGACUGCAUAUAAUUUACCUGCCCUAUAUGCGCUACAGAAGAAGAGCCACUCCUUGCAGUAUUACCCCAGUUAUAAAUUCUUAGACCUGGAAUUUUACGGCGCUGACUGGUGGUUAUACACGCUUCAACUUCAGGAAUGUGAAUGCAUUGUGACAACAAGAUCAGCCCUUGCAAUUAAGCCUUAACUUACCUUAAC
rnacentral:lncRNA from 1 species